rnacentral:lncRNA from 1 species
UUUUUUUUUUUUAAGUGUCCUGAAGGAAGAAUUGUGAUUGGUGAGCUUUUGGGCAGUCUCUGCAACAUUGACCAAGGGGCCUUGCCAUCCCUAAUGCAAAUUAAUCCUUAGUGGAUCUGUCUUCCCAGUUUUUGCCAUAUGUUCAGAUAUGUCUGUGUUUAAGAACAUUAUUUAAUGUGGAAACUGAGACAGAUUACUUAAAUAUACAGAGCUAAUAAAUGACAGAACUGGAAUGUAACUGAAAUUUUUCUGAAUCUCAACUUAUGUUCUCCCCCUAAAUUUUAUACUUUGGGGCAUGGCAAUAGGGAUAAGAUCAGAUUGGGAGGAAAAGGACUCCUUUGCUUUGCACCCCUGGAGCCCUCUGAGAUAUCAGAACCUCUCUGAUAUCAAAGAUUUGGGGCAGUACUAUAGCUAAGACAUUUAAGGAUAAUUCAUUUAGAGAAAACGCUGAGAUUGAUUGUCUCACACUGGUGGGGGAAUGAAAAACACUAGGAGAUGGUGAAUGUCCCACGCCAUUCUCCAAAUUGGACAUGGUCAAGUGGCCACGUCUACUGACCUCAGAAAAUAUCUUUAAUUACCCCCCUUUUGACCAGAAAGCCAAAGCAAAAUGUCAAGGGAAGAUCACUGAGAAAGAAAGACAAUAUAUGGGAUUGAGCCUGGAUUUUACUGUUGCCCUUAUACAGUAGUUUUUCCUUUUAGCAGCUGUGUAAGUGUGGAUGCUUCAACUCACAGAGCCUCCAUUUUCUUGUUAGAAAAACAGGAGUGCUGAAACUUCACGCUCAAGGCAGUAAGGAUUAAAGAAGUCAAUAAGGGUACGAUGCCUAAUAGACACUGCAACUGAGGGUUAGUCCAUUUUCUCUUUUUAUUAAUUCUCAUUCAUAAGUGUUGCAUCAAGGGGAGGCAUCAUGGUGCAAAGAUAAUUAUUCUGGAUGCUAUGGAAAAUUGAGGCAAAAUGGUAUGAAUUAAUUUAUUCAUUUAUCAUUAAUAAUUUACUUUUUCGUGCAUCCAUCCAUUCAUCCAUUCGGUAGUUUAUCAUUCUUUCAUACGUUCACCAAAUAUAUACUCACUAUGGUAAAACAUCAUCAUAAACACUGGGGAAAUCCAAAAAGACAGCAUGAAUCCUGCUCUUAGGAUCUGUGUCUUCUAGUGGGGGGACAGCCAUACACACAUCAUGGAAAUUAUAAGGUGGAGCAUGAUAAAUGGUAUAGACAUUUAAAAAUUAACAGGUAGUGCAGAAGAGGGAAGAUAGAGCAGGGAAUAUGAAAAGUGUUAGAGCAUCAGCAGCAUUUGUGUUGGAACAGUGGUGGCUCCAGGAUUUCUGAGUAAGAGGAAUUAAAAAAAGUUUUUUUGUAUGAGUAUAGUUGACAAACAAUGUUACAUCAGUUUCAGGUGCACAACAUAGUGAUCCAACUUCUCUAUAUGUUACGCUAGGCUCACGACGAGUGUAGCUACCAUCUGUCCCAUUACAUUGCUAUUACAAUAUCAUUGCCCAUAUUCCCUGUGUUGUGCCUUUUAUUCCCAUGACUUAUUUAUUCCAUAACUGGAGGCCUGUAUCUCCCACUCCUUUACCCAUUCUGCCCAUCUCCCCACGCUUCUCCCCUCUGGCUACUAUCAGUUUGUUACUUGUAUUGAUACGUCUGAUUUUGCCUUGUUCAGUCAUUUAAGAUUCCACACAGGAAUGGAAUCACGUGGUAUUUGUUUUUCUUAGUCUGACUUAUUUUCACUUAGUAGAAGACCCUCUAGGUCCAUCUGUGUUGUCACAUAUGGCAAAAAGCUCAUCCUCUUUAUGGCUAUGUAAUAUUCCUCUCUGUGCACCAGCAUGCAUGUAUACAUCUUAUCACUUGGGUUGCUUCCAUACCUUGACUAUUGUAAAUAAUGUUGCAAUAAAUAAAAGGGUGCAGGACACCUGGGUGGCUCAGUCCAUUAAGCAUGGGCUCUUGGUUUCCACUCAGAUCGUGAUCUCAGGGUCCUGGGAUUGAGCCCUGCACCCAUCUCUGCACUCAGUGGCAGUCUGCUUGUUCCUCCCUCUCCCCCUUUGCUCCCCUCUCUGCUCAUAUGCACAUGUUCUCUCUAAUAAAAUCUAAAAAAAAUAUAAAAGGGUGCAUUUAUCUUUUCAAAUUAGUGUUUUCAUUUUCUUUGGGUAAAUACUCAGUAGUGGAAUUAAUGAAUCAUAUGGUAAUUCUAGUUUUAUUUUUUUGAGGAACCUCCAUACUGUUUUCCACAGUGGCCUACCAACAGAGCACGAAAUUUCCUUUUUUUCCCCACAUCCUCACCAACAUUUAUUUCUUGUCUUUUUUAUUUUAGCCAUUCUGGCAGGUGUAAGGUGAAAUCUCACUGUGGUUUGGAUUUGCAUUUCCCUAAUGAUUAGUAAUGGUGAACAUCUUUUCAUGUGUCUAUUGGACAUCUGUAUGUCUUCUUUGGCAACACGUCUGUUCACGUCCUCUGCCCAUGUUUUAAUCGGAUUGUUUAUUAUUUUGGUGUUGAGUUGUAAAAUUCCCUUUGGAGCAACAAUCUGAUUGGCAGAAGCAAUGGUAUUUCUUUUGAAGCCAUGUUUGCAUAGCAAGAACACCAAAUUUUCUCAGGAUGUGUGUUACAACAAAUAAAGAGAACCAGUUUUUUCAAAGAUGCUUUUGUUCAAAUUUUUUUCUUAUAAAAAAAUCUAAUAAAACAUUUUUUCUCCUUUAUUUGCUGAAAAAUUAAUAAUUAUAAUUUUUGGUUAGGUUAUUUAAGGGGCUAGAUUAGUCAGCUUGAGCUGCCAUCAUAAAAUACCAUAGACUAAGGUGACUUAAGCAACAGAAAUUUAUUCCUCACAGUUUCAGAGGCCUCAAGUCCAAGAUCAGGUUGUCAGCAUGGCUGAAUUCUGGUGAGCGCUCUUGGCCCGGCUGGCAGGUGACUGACUUAUCAAAAUGUCCUUUCAUCACAGAGAAAAGAGCUCUGAUGUCUCUUCCUCUUGUUACAUAACCAGUUCUAAUGGAUUAGGGCUCCACUCUUAUGACCUCAUCUAACCUUAAAGGCCCAUCUCCGGAUACAGUCGCACUGAGGAUUAGGGCUUCAACGUAUAAAUUUGGGGGUGGGGGCGGAACACAAUCCAGUCGAUAGCAGGAGCUGACAGAAAGAACCUCACCUCUUGGUGCUCUCUCUGC